rnacentral:rRNA from 1 species
UACGUAGGGUGCGAGCGUUGUCCGGAAUUAUUGGGCGUAAAGAGCUCGUAGGCGGUUUGUCGCGUCGGCCGUGAAAUCUCCACGCUUAACGUGGAGCGUGCGGUCGAUACGGGCAGACUUGAGUUCGGUAGGGGAGACUGGAAUUCCUGGUGUAGCGGUGAAAUGCGCAGAUAUCAGGAGGAACACCGGUGGCGAAGGCGGGUCUCUGGGCCGAUAUCGACGCUGAGGAGCGAAAGCGUGGGGAGCGAACAGG